GGCCUCAAGUGAUGUGUGACUACCCCCUA
rnacentral:rRNA from 3 species